GACAGUUCGGUCCCUAUCCGUCGCAGGCGUAGGAAAUUUGAGGAGACCUGUCCUUAGUACGAGAGGACCGGGAUGGACGUACCUCUGGUGUACCAGUUGUUCUGCCAAGGGCAUGGCUGGGUAGCUAUGUACGGAAUGGAUAAGCGCUGAAAGCAUCUAAGCGCGAAGCCAACUUCAAGAUAAGAUUUCCCACCGCAAGGGUAAGACCCCAG
rnacentral:rRNA from 1 species